GUGGCGUGUAGCUCUCGGCCCCAGUGGAUGCCGCCGGGUGGCGGCGGGAAGGCACGGCUGUUCUCCUCCGGGGCUGCGCGGUCGGAGAGCCCCGGUACGUUUAGCGUGGCCGGGAUUCUGCAGCCCUGGACGUGUCUUUCCCUGCCCUGUUCUCCGAGGCGGACCUGUGGAGCUUUAAGCUCCCACCUUCGGUUUUGUACUGGGCGCGGGAAUUGCAAAAUGCCAGAAUAUCGCAACCAUCCCCGCGGCCCGGCGGGUUUGCAAAGGGUGCCCCGGCCAGGAGGCGGGGGCUCGGGGCCUGCGUCCAGUCGGUGGCGGCUCCAGCCCGACUGCACGUGGAGUCGCGGUGGGGGUGGGGGUGGCCACGCGGGCGGCCGCCGCGGCAGUCUUGCCGGUGGAGCCCGGGCUCGUUUCUCCGCCCCCUCCCCGCCCAGGCUCAGUAAACAGGGCUUGAGCGCCGGGGCCUGCCGGGCAGGGCUGAGUGUCUGAGGACAAGGCGCUGGCUUUGCUAAUCACAUCACAAGACCUUGAGCCAGGGCCAAAGGCGCGGAGUGGCGCGGGACGUCCCGGGCGGGGGAGCUGACUCUGAGGACAGGAGGAAAGGCCGGGAGAGCCGUGCGGGCUUGAAGGCGACUUAGCGCCACCUUUCCGUCUGCUGGUCGGGCCGGCCUUCCCCAGCCCUCUGGGGCUGGGGGUGCAGCUGCCUGCCGAGGCUCCCCGCCCGGCACAGCCUGGGCCUGUUGCGUCCUCCCAGCCUCUUCCCUCCCCGGCAGUGGGGGCGCCGCGCCCAGCCUUUGCUCGAUGAGGGCUGCAGGAUCCGGCUGAGACCAACCCGCGGCGCAGGUGGGGCUGCACAGACGCUGAUGGUGGGCGCGCCACCCUCUGUUUUCCCUCACUCGCCAGCCCCGCACCCCAACAGCUUGCGCUGGAAAAUGCGCUUUGCCAGCGGGCGCCCCGCCUUCGUCCGGGUACGGAGGGGACACUCCCAUCUAGCGCCCAGUGAGGCUAAAGCCGCUGACAGCCCCACUAGGAACGAUCUGGAGUCUGGUCUAGGGCACUUCUCCCUCCGCGUUCAUACAGGUUGCCACAAAAAGCUUGGGCCUGAAGCUCGAAGGCCCCGGACCCGCUGGGGAAAGAACUAGGCCUGCCACUCAGGGAUUCGAGUCCCUGGAGUGUAUCCUGCAUUUCCCACUACUGUACUCCCCUCAUGGCCCAGGGAGCCAGAGUCCAGGGUAAGGAUCAGGAAUGCUGGGCUGGAGUUCAGGUCCUGCCCCAGAGAAAUCAUGUGGUCUUAGGCAAAUCACAUCAUCUCUUUGGUACUUGGGUUUCCUUGUUAAACGAAGAUAAUAUUCUUGCUUUAUUCAUCUCUCACCUUUGGCAAGGUGCAAAUGAUAUCUGUGAAGGUGUUUAAAAGACAAGCAAGAACUAAACCAUCUUUAUGUAUUAAACCAAAUUGACAAAAGCGUAAGGGUGGAGAAAGCCUGGCUUCUGAACUGUGGCCAGAUGGACAGAGAGCCACAGAAUCAUGAGUGCAGAGCUGUGGGGGCACCCAAGUCCUGGACCCUAGGACUCACAGCCAAGAGCAGGUGACCUCAGAGGGACCAGUUUCACUUUUAGCACCUACCCUACACUGACCCCUUGACAUACCUGGGCAACUGUGGUCUGGUUUGUUCUUUGGUGAGAUGACCCCAAACAUCUCACCAAACUGUGAAACAGCCACUUCCCUAGGCACUCCUAUUAGGUUAGUAACAAGAUUUCAGAUACAGAACCAGUGGAAACAUCUGUUUGAAACAACGUCCAAAUCUGGGGUGAGUCCCAGUCAACAGCUGUGAGAACACCCACUUUGCAGAUUAGGAUUCUGGAGAUAACAUGUGGACAUGUUACGGGACAUGCUUGUGUACAGAGUACCUGCUAGUAUAAAAUGUCUAAUGUAGCUGCUUUUAUUUCAUUUUAAAUGGAGAAAAAAAGAAGUGCUGGCCAUUUCCAAUGAGCUGGGCUUUGUUGGGCCAGUUUCAUUAUUAUUUUUCUGUGGUUAUCACCACAUUUAUUUUACCAAGUCCCUCACUUCUCACCAGCUAGGUCUUAGAACAAAAAGUGUUAGGUUGGCAGCUUUCCAUCAGGUGUGGGCUACACAGUUUCCUAACUAGGUAAUUAAUUCAGGAUCACAAAAACCACAUUUGGGGCCGAGUGGUUGCAAAACCACCCAGGGAAUUUCCUGUUCUCUUUAGGACAAAACUUUGGACACUGAGUUAACUUCUUUCCUGCCUCUUCCUACAAAGCCCCUUUCCUAUACUUCCAGUAUGGCUGCUUUUUUGUUCUUAAAUUCCUUUCUUUUAGUGAUGGGGUCUUGCUGUGUUACUCAGGCUGGAGUGCAGUGGCCUUUCACAGGCAUGAACUCCUGGGCGAUCCUCCCACCUCAGCCUCCUGAGUAGCUGGGAUUACAAGUGUGCACCAUCAUGCCUGGCUUACAGCUGCAUUUUUAGUGUUAGAUGGUUUUCUCUCGAAGAGCGAUGAAUUACAUUUGAAAUAUGAGCUUUUCUGCAGUAGGAAAUGAUUGUAAACUCACUCUCCUCUAACCCGCCCCUUCAGACUCUGUGAAACAUCAAUGAAAUUACUCUAAGUGAUCAUUUACCUGAGUACUUUUUUUUUUUUACAGACCCUAAAAUCUGGAGCAAAUUUACAUACUAUGAAAUGUUUUUUUCAGAUCAGUAGGAUGAAAAAUGAAUGCGGAUGAAGCUACUACCCUUCCAAAGCUAUGAUUCUCAAGAUAACUAUUAGUGGGUAACACUUAUUCUGAAAUUAUAAAUGAAAAAUGGUGAGCCAGUGAAAAACUGGACCAGCAGCAAAACGUUUGCAAGAGCGCCACCUGCUGGAUGUGUGAGGAAGAGGGCUGGGCUGGGCUUGAAAAGGAAGAAAAUCAUUAAGGUUUCUAGAUUAAAAUCACUGCAAAGGAUGUGAGAGAGAGAGAGAGAGAGUGAGAGUGUGUGUGUGUGUGUGUGUUUGAGUGUUUGAGACGAGUCUCACUCUGUCGCCCAGGCUGGAGUGCAGUGGUGCGAUCUCGGCUCACUGCAACCUCCGCUUCCCGGGUUCAAGCAAUUCUCUGCCUCAGCCUCCCGAGUGGCUGGGAUUACAGGCGCCCACCACCACGCCCAGCUAAUUUUUUUUGCAUUUUUUGUAGAGACGGGGGUUUCACCAUCUUGACCAGGCUGGUCUUGAACUCCUGACCUUGUGAUCCACCCGCCUCAGCCUCCCAACAUGCUGGGAUUACAGGUGUGAAACACCGCGCCCAGCUGAUAAAUGUGUUUAAUGGCAUUUUAAGUGAGACACUUGUUACUGCCACCAAGCGAUAGGUAAACAAUGUAGGCACAGAAUAAGUCAUUUUCUCUGACUCUCCUUUCCCCAGGUUCCUCCUCACAGCUAAGAGGACGGAUAUACUUUCACUGGGUGGCAAAAUCAGGUUUCCUAGCAUUAGCAUACUUUUUGGGGGGUAGGGGAAAUGCUCAAUGGCUCUUUGAAUAAUUAGGAUGGAAUGUGUAGGUCACUGCAGGACUUAACACAUGCAGACAAUAAAAAUAAAUUAUUUGUGCAAAGUUGAUCCUGAAUUCUCCCAGGAUCCAACAUUUGGAACAUAUUUCUGCUUUGCUAAAAUGGAACAAAAUUCACAAAUCUGACCAAAUGGGCUGUUUGCCAACUAAUCCAGCCCCUACAUAAAGCCAGAAAAGGGGAGAGGGGAGGGAUCAUGUGUAUGUGCUAAAAUCCAACUCUCUGUAGUCAUUUCACAGAGAAUGCAGGGCGGCUAUGGCAGGGCAUUAGAGGCCCUGGGGGAUGAAAAAGGCUCAUUCAGGCCUGCAGGUGGCCUGCACCUGGGGACAGAGUAAAUCUGCAACGGAGUCGCCUCACUUCCUACAGUAGCAGCAAUAAAAUAGGCUGCCCUGAAUGAGUGAACUGAAGAAAAGUUUCUCUGUAAGGAGUGACAGACGACUGGACUCACAGAAGUAGGGGAGGCAUGAAUGGGAUAAAAUUUUUGAAUUUAUGUUCAACAUGUUUCCUGCAGAUUUAGUGGAGGAAAAAUCCACACAUACCCCCAUCCCAAUCCCCCAG
rnacentral:lncRNA from 1 species